rnacentral:rRNA from 1 species
UGUUGGCUUAGAAGCAGCCAUCAUUUAAAGAAAGCGUAAUAGCUCACUGGUCGAGUCGGCCUGCGCGGAAGAUGUAACGGGGCUAAACCAUGCACCGAAGCUGCGGCAGCGAACGUAUCACCCAAGACAACUUUACGGAGUUGACGAUUGACGGAGCGAAGCGACGUCAAAGCGUUCAUUAAAGUCGAGUUGGCUUAGGGAUACGUUCGUUGGGUAGGGGAGCGUUCUGUAAGCCUGUGAAGGUGUGUCGUGAGGCAUGCUGGAGGUAUCAGAAGUGCGAAUGCUGACAUAAGUAACGAUAAAGCGGGUGAAAAGCCCGCUCGCCGGAAGACCAAGGGUUCCUGUCCAACGUUAAUCGGGGCAGGGUGAGUCGACCCCUAAGGCGAGGCCGAAAGGCGUAGUCGAUGGGAAACGGGUUAAUAUUCCCGUACUUGGUGUUACUGCGAAGGGGGGACGGAGAAGGCUAUGUUGGCCGGGCGACGGUUGUCCCGGUUUAAGCGUGUAGGUGUGUGUUCCAGGUAAAUCCGGUUCACUUUAACACUGAGGCGUGACGACGAGGCACUACGGUGCUGAAGCAACAAAUGCCCUGCUUCCAGGAAAAGCCUCUAAGCAUCAGGUAACACGAAAUCGUACCCCAAACCGACACAGGUGGUCAGGUAGAGAAUACCAAGGCGCUUGAGAGAACUCGGGUGAAGGAACUAGGCAAAAUGGUGCCGUAACUUCGGGAGAAGGCACGCUGACACGUAGGUGAAGUGAUUUACUCAUGGAGCUGAAGUCAGUCGAAGAUACCAGCUGGCUGCAACUGUUUAUUAAAAACACAGCACUGUGCAAACACGAAAGUGGACGUAUACGGUGUGACGCCUGCCCGGUGCCGGAAGGUUAAUUGAUGGGGUCAGCGUAAGCGAAGCUCCUGAUCGAAGCCCCGGUAAACGGCGGCCGUAACUAUAACGGUCCUAAGGUAGCGAAAUUCCUUGUCGGGUAAGUUCCGACCUGCACGAAUGGCGUAAUGAUGGCCAGGCUGUCUCCACCCGAGACUCAGUGAAAUUGAACUCGCUGUGAAGAUGCAGUGUACCCGCGGCAAGACGGAAAGACCCCGUGAACCUUUACUAUAGCUUGACACUGAACAUUGAGCCUUGAUGUGUAGGAUAGGUGGGAGGCUUUGAAGUGUGGACGCCAGUCUGCAUGGAGCCGACCUUGAAAUACCACCCUUUAAUGUUUGAUGUUCUAACGUGGACCCGUAAUCCGGGUUGCGGACAGUGUCUGGUGGGUAGUUUGACUGGGGCGGUCUCCUCCUAAAGAGUAACGGAGGAGCACGAAGGUUGGCUAAUCCUGGUCGGACAUCAGGAGGUUAGUGCAAUGGCAUAAGCCAGCUUGACUGCGAGCGUGACGGCGCGAGCAGGUGCGAAAGCAGGUCAUAGUGAUCCGGUGGUUCUGAAUGGAAGGGCCAUCGCUCAACGGAUAAAAGGUACUCCGGGGAUAACAGGCUGAUACCGCCCAAGAGUUCAUAUCGACGGCGGUGUUUGGCACCUCGAUGUCGGCUCAUCACAUCCUGGGGCUGAAGUAGGUCCCAAGGGUAUGGCUGUUCGCCAUUUAAAGUGGUACGCGAGCUGGGUUUAGAACGUCGUGAGACAGUUCGGUCCCUAUCUGCCGUGGGCGCUGGAGAACUGAGGGGGGCUGCUCCUAGUACGAGAGGACCGGAGUGGACGCAUCACUGGUGUUCGGGUUGUCAUGCCAAUGGCACUGCCCGGUAGCUAAAUGCGGAAGAGAUAAGUGCUGAAAGCAUCUAAGCACGAAACUUGCCCCGA